CCUACGGGAGGCAGCAGUGAGGAAUAUUGGUCAAUGGGCUAAGGCCUGACCCAGCCAAGUCGCGUGAGGGACGACGGUCCUAUGGAUUGUAAACCUCUUUUGUCGGGGAGCAACGAGGCCACGUGUGGCCGAAGUGAGAGUACCCGAAGAAAAAGCAUCGGCUAACUCCGUGCCCGCAGCCUCGGUACUACGGAGGAUGCGAGCGUUAUCCGUAUUUAUUGGGUUUAGCGGGUGCGUAGGCGGAACUUUCAGUCAGCGGUAAAAUCGAGGGGCUCAACCCCUUUAAGCCGUUGAAACUGGUGAUCGUGAGAGGUCGAGAAGUAGGCGGAAUGCGCGGUGUAGCGGUGAAAUGCAUAGAUAUUACGCAGAACUCCGAUUGCGAAGGCAGCAUACCGGCGCCCGACUGACGCUGAGGCACGAAAGCGUGGGGAUCGAACAGGAUUAGAUACCCGGGUAGUC
rnacentral:rRNA from 1 species